GAUGAACGCUGGCGGUAUGCUUAACACAUGCAAGUCGUACGAAAACUUCGGUUUUAGUGGCGGACGGGUGAGUAACACGUGAGAAUCUGCCUUUAGGAGGGGGAUAACAGCUAGAAAUGACUGCUAAUACCCCAUAUGCCGCAAGGUGAAAUAGUUUUCUGCCUAUAGAAGAGCUCGCGUCUGAUUAGCUUGUUGGUGAGGUAAUGGCUCACCAAGGCGACGAUCAGUAGUUGGUCUAAGAGGAUGGCCAGCCACACUGGGACUGAGACACGGCCCAGACUCCUACGGGAGGCAGCAGUGGGGAAUUUUCCGCAAUGGGCGAAAGCCUGACGGAGCAAUACCGCGUGAGGGAUGAAGGCUCGUGGGUUGUAAACCUCUUUUCUCAGGAAAGAAGCUCUGACGGUACCUGAGGAAUAAGCAUCGGCUAACUCCGUGCCAGCAGCCGCAGUAAAAC
rnacentral:rRNA from 1 species